UACGAAGGGGGCUAGCGUUGCUCGGAAUUACUGGGCGUAAAGCGCACGUAGGCGGCUCUUUAAGUCGGAGGUGAAAUCCUGGAGCUCAACUCCAGAACUGCCUUCGAUACUGAAGAGCUCGAGUCCGGGAGAGGUGAGUGGAACUGCGAGUGUAGAGGUGAAAUUCGUAGAUAUUCGCAAGAACGCCAGUGGCGAAGGCGGCUCACUGGCCCGGUACUGACGCUGAGGUGCGAAAGCGUGGGGAGCAAACAGG
rnacentral:rRNA from 1 species